UGGGAAUAUUGCACAAUGGGCGCAAGCCUGAUGCAGCCAUGCCGCGUGUGUGAAGAAGGCCUUCGGGUUGUAAAGCACUUUCAGCGAGGAGGAAGGUGGUGAACUUAAUACGUUCAUCAAUUGACGUUACUCGCAGAAGAAGCACCGGCUAACUCCGUGCCAGCAGCCGCGGUAAUACGGAGGGUGCAAGCGUUAAUCGGAAUUACUGGGCGUAAAGCGCACGCAGGCGGUUUGUUAAGUCAGAUGUGAAAAUCCCCGGGCUCAACCUGGGAACUGCAUUUGAAACUGGCAAGCUAGAGUCUCGUAGAGGGGGUAGAAUUCCAGGUGUAGCGGUGAAAUGCGUAGAGAUCUGGAGGAAUACCGGUGGCGAAGGCGGCCCCCUGGANGAAGACUGACGCUCAGGUGCGAAAGCGUGGGGAGCAAACAGAUUAGNUACCCUGGUAGUCACG
rnacentral:rRNA from 1 species